GUAGUAUUUUUUUUGAGAGAAUAAGAUUUAGUAGAUAUGAAAGUUUUUUGAGAUUUUAGGAAGUGUAAAUUUAGUUAAUGGAGUAGGUUGAGUGAGAUUUUAUUUGUUUUAGGUAAGGAGAAUGAGUUAGUGAAUAGUUUGUUUGUUUGUUUAGUUUUUUUUUGUGUUAUAAAUUUGAUGGUUUUUUAAUAGAUUUAAAUUGAUUUUUUAU
rnacentral:misc_RNA from 1 species